GAUGAACGCUGGCGGCGUGCUUAACACAUGCAAGUCGAACGGUAAGGCCCUUCGGGGUACACGAGUGGCGAACGGGUGAGUAACACGUGGGUGAUCUGCCCUGCACUUCGGGAUAAGCCUGGGAAACUGGGUCUAAUACCGGAUAGGACCACUGCCUGCAUGGGUGGUGGUGGAAAGCUUUUGCGGUGUGGGAUGGGCCCGCGGCCUAUCAGCUUGUUGGUGGGGUGAUGGCCUACCAAGGCGACGACGGGUAGCCGGCCUGAGAGGGUGACCGGCCACACUGGGACUGAGAGACGGCCCAGAGUCCUACGGGAGGCAGCAGUGGGGAAUAUUGCACAAUGGGCGCAAGCCAGAUGCAGCGACGCCGCGUGAGGGAUGACGGCCUUCGGGUUGUAAACCUCUUUCAGCACCGACGAAGCGCAAGUGACGGUAGGUGCAGAAGAAGGACCGGCCAACUACGUGCCAGCCGCCGCCGUAA
rnacentral:rRNA from 1 species